GACGAACGCUGGCGGCGUGCUUAACACAUGCAAGUCGAACGGAAAGGCGCGGCUUUUGUUGGUUGCUCGAUUGGCGAGCGGGUGAGUAACACGUGUGUAACCUGCCCUUAACUUUGGGAUAAAUUCAGGGGACUGGGGCUAAUACCGCAUAUGAUCUCCUGAUGCAUGUUGGGGGUUGGAAAAUUUCGGCGGUUGGGGAUGGACUCGCGGCUUAUCAGCUUGUUGGGGGGGUAGGUGCUUACCAAGGCUUUGACGGGUAGCCGGCCUGAGAGGGUGACCGGGCACCUUGGGCCUGCGAUACGGACCAGAAUCCUACGUGCGGCAGUAGUGGGGAAUAUUGCACAACGAGGGGAAGUCUGAUGCAGCAACGCCGCGUUCGUGAUGCCGGCCUUCGGGGUAUAAACAGCUUUGGCAUGAGCCGAACAGUGAGUGACGGUAAUGGGUAAAGAAGCCACGGCUAACUACGUG
rnacentral:rRNA from 1 species